AUUGAACGCUGGCGGCAGGCCUAACACAUGCAAGUCGAGCGGAUGAAGGGAGCUUGCUCCUGGAUUCAGCGGCGGACGGGUGAGUAAUGCCUAGGAAUCUGCCUGGUAGUGGGGGAUAACGUCCGGAAACGGGCGCUAAUACCGCAUACGUCCUGAGGGAGAAAGUGGGGGAUCUUCGGACCUCACGCUAUCAGAUGAGCCUAGGUCGGAUUAGCUAGUUGGUGGGGUAAAGGCCUACCAAGGCGACGAUCCGUAACUGGUCUGAGAGGAUGAUCAGUCACACUGGAACUGAGACACGGUCCAGACUCCUACGGGAGGCAGCAGUGGGGAAUAUUGGACAAUGGGCGAAAGCCUGAUCAGCCAUGCCGCGUGUGUGAAGAAGGUCUUCGGAUUGUAAAGCACUUUAAGUUGGGAGGAAGGGCAGUAAGUUAAUACCUUGCUGUUUUGACGUUACCAACAGAAUAAGCACCGGCUAACUUCGUG
rnacentral:rRNA from 1 species